GAUGAACGCUGGCGGCGUGCUUAACACAUGCAAGUCGAACGAAGCAGUUCUUUUGGAAGUCUCCCAGCUUGCUGGGAGCCGGACAUGUGAAUUGACUGAGUGGCGGACGGGUGAGUAACGCGUGGGUAACCUGCCCUAUGCAGGGGGAUAACAGUUAGAAAUGACCGCUAAUACCGCAUAAGACCACAGUACCGCAUGGUACAGGGGUAAAAACUCCGGUGGCAUAGGAUGGACCCGCGUCUGAUUAGCUGGUUGGUGAGGUAAUGGCUCACCAAGGCGUCGAUCAGUAGCCGACCUGAGAGGGUGACCGGCCACAUUGGGACUGAGACACGGCCCAAACUCCCACGGGAGGCAGCAGUGGGGAAUAUUGCACAAUGGGGGAAACCCUGAUGCAGCGACGCCGCGUGAGUGAUGACGGCCUUCGGGUUGUAAAGCUCUGUUUCGAGGGACGAUAAUGACGGUACCUCGGGAGGAAGCCACGGCUAACUACGUGCCAGCCGCCGCCGUAAGAC
rnacentral:rRNA from 1 species